rnacentral:lncRNA from 1 species
AUCAUCAUUCAAGGGUUUCUCAAGCAUGAGGAUUUACCAAAAGCAUCAGAACUAAUCAAUGAAAUGGUUGACAAGGGAUUCUCUGCCGAUGCUACUACCACCGAAUUGGUAGUACGUUUAUUGUGCAAUGAUGAUCUCAUUCUGAGGCUUUUAAAGGUGCGCAAUGAGGGAUCAGCAAACUAAAGUUGUUAUAUCUUGACCAUUCAAGUGUGUCUUGGAGCACAACUUGGUAAUUGCCUUUUUCAAAUAUAAUAGAUAUGUAAUUUAACUAACUUCUUCAAAUAUCAUUUUUAAUUUCAAUCAGCUGUGAUUCUCUUCCACAAAAUGAAAAUUUCUAACGCCGCAAAUGACCUGUGGUGGAAACCAUGAUAUGUGUAUGCCUUUUGCUUGAAUUCAGACAUGGACUUGAUCUCUUUGAUAUAAGAUUGUUGAUGAAUGGGGGUCAUGGAUUUCUAAUGAUCAAGUUGCUGGUAAACCCACCAUCUCCUUUACAAAUUUUUUUUGGCUGCUACUACAGCCUUAACUCUAGAGCUGAGUCCUAAAAUUGAGUUGGGAACUAAAACUAAUUGGUUCCAUACUCCAAUGCUUAAGAAUCUUUAUCUAUUUUUAUUUUUGUGCUCAAUGACCUUUUAAAAUGCUAUCAUUUCUCUUGUAGGUACUUGCAAGGAUAUGAUUAUAACUUC